UGCAUCGGCCGGGAAUCGAACCAUGGCCGCCCUCGGCAGGCGGGCAUUCUACCACUGAACAACCGAUGG
rnacentral:tRNA from 1 species